UACCCGCUUUGUUUGACCCGGAGAUAUAUACUCCUUGAUUAACCUAAUUUUCUGGAUCCCUCAUUCGGUUCAUCAACAAUCCACUGCUGUGCAAAACCCUAGAACAUGCGAACUAUUCAGAUCUUGAAUCCCAAAAAUCAUCAUUUGUCUCAUCCAGUGUAGAUAGAGCGGUGCAGGUAAGAAAGUAGUGGAUGUUGCAUUCAAGGCAUCAAAAUCAAUCGAUUGGGAUGGUGUGGCGAAGAUGAUUGUAUCCGAUGAGGCUCGCAAGGAGUUUUCUUCAUUCCGUCGUGCUUUUGAGGAAGUCAACUCAACUCUCCAGACCAAAUUUAGUCAGGGCAUACUACCAUUAGCAACCAACGAAGGUCUGGACGUGUUCACGCGAUAUUCCGGUCAUCGGACAAUGGUUCGUGUUAGGUUUUUCUGAUGGACAAAAUUCGUGGUACCAGGGAGCUGCUUGGAGAUGAGUGUCAACCCAGUCAACUGAUACGAGUAAAAGAGAUUCAAUGACUCACAUUCAGGCUGAUCAUCAUGCUCAACGCAAACCUUUUGCUUCGCAUUGGCAUUAGAGGCACCUCAUGUGAGUACAUUUCUCGGGAAAGCUGGUAACGUAGGUCUUGAAGUGUUAUACACACUGGGCAGCAGUAUGACAAAUUUGAAUGCUAACAGUGGAUUUGUAUUCAAUAUGGCUUCAAGAGGAGAUAAAGUAUCGAUUUUAGCAUUCGAAGUAGCUAAUACCAUUGUUUAAGCCUUAAGGGUCCAAUUUUAGCAUUUGAAGUUGCUAUAAUGAUACUAAUGGCUUAUCUUUCUUACAUGCUAGCUGAGUUAUUCUCUUUGAGUGGCGUUCUCACAGUGUUCUUAUGUGGAGUUGUUAUGUCCCAUUACACUUGGCAUAAUGUCACCGAGAAAUCCACAUUAACAACCAAGCACGCCUUUGCAACAUUUUCGAUUAUUGCAGAGUUGUUUAUCUUCCUUUACGUCGGUAUGGAUGCUUUAGAUAUUGAAAAAUGAAGCUUUGUGAAAGACAGCCCGGGGACAUCAGUUGAAGUGAGUGCAAUUCUAUUGGGCUUGGUAUUGGUUGGAAGAGCAGCCUUUGUCUUCCCCUUGUCUUUUUUAUCCAAUUUAACCAAAAAGGCCCAACACGAGAAAAUCGAUUUUAGUCAGCAAGUUGGGUGACUUGUAUAGCGUCGCUUGGAUGGAAGAUUGGUUAAUGAAAGAACCUCAAGUGACGCUGUUAAUCAGCGUGACGCUGAUCUUUUACAUUUCUGGCAUAAGUACCCGAAGGCUCCAGAAGGUUCUGAUAAGAAAACCGAAGUUCAGGAAAAGCAUACGGAAGCCAUGUCUCAAAGAAUGCACAUAGACAGCAGUAUACAGCUCAUUGGCAAGAUUUUGUUUGGAUUGGAAAGGGUCCUGAGAACGAAGCUAUGAUUCCAAACUUUAGUGGUCAAUAGGACUACUCAUUUGCAGAACUGAUACCAAUGGGCACUAUAGGUGUUUCUUGGACCAUUAUUUAACCAGCUGACACUAUAUAUAUCACAUUGGCAUCGAAAUUAUCUACACAAGAAAGGAAACUGGGUCAAACCAGUUAGAGAAGUUGAUGACACAAAGUCGAUGUAUAAGGAUGUCGUGCUAGGUGGAGAUGUGUGGGAUCUUUUGGAUGAUUUAAUGAUUUACAUGCGGAAUCCUAUGCAAUAUUAUGAAAAAGAAGUGAAGUUUGUUCGGGGAGUACUUUUAUCAGGACCUCCUGGAAUGGGGGAAACGCUAUUUGCUAGAACGCUAGCAAAGGAGAGCGGGAUGCCGUUUCUAUUUUUAAUUUUAAUAGUUGGUAUAUGAAACUUGUAAUAACGUAGGUUUCUAUUUUUAUUCUGCAGGCUCCUGCUUUUAUAUUUGUAGAUGAGAUUGAUGCUAUUUCCGGAAGACAUGCAAGAAAAGAUCCAAGAAGGUGAUCAACAUUUGACGCAUUGAUAACGCAGCUUGAUGGAGAGAAAACUCAAGCAUCAACUCAAAUACAAAACUUGGGUGUUUAUGGUCAAGGACUUCUGAGGUUGAGCGGUCGGGGUGAUGCAAUCAAAGAGCAAAGACUUUCACAGGUUGGACCGGGUUCUGAAUCUUGAAGCCCCAUUAAAUGAUGAACAGAGUAAAAGCAUGUGAGGGGUAACAAAAUCCCAUUGUGAGAAUCCAACAUGCCCAAGAGAUUUGAUUUAUCCACCUGACGAUUGUCAUGUUAACGACACACUUUCGUUUUCACUACAAAUUUGUCGUGUUGAAGACAUAGCUGUGGAUGGCACAAUUAAAGGGAUUAUCAUUCAGAUACACAGAGCAAUGAGUGUCAUCGUCAGCACAGAAGGCAUGAUAACCGCUUCCGAGUUAGGUUCUCGAAAUGGUUUCGGUUUGGGAAACUAUUCAAAUGGUGCUGGCGGUGGGCAUGGGGGUACUAGGUUGUACUAUGGAAGGUUGAGUGAAGGUGGUAGCGUUUAUGGUAAACAGGGUCUUCCCUGUGAGUUAGGAAGUGGAACUAUUGGCCCUAAUGAGUAUGUUUGUCGGGUUGCUGGUGGAGGAAUGAUAGGAAGCUGGUGAGUGGGCCAAACAGGCCAUAAGUCGCGCUAUAUCUUGCCUGACGAAGUGCUUGAGAACGAAGAAUAUGAUCCUUUGUGGCCUCCCCCAUAAGGUCAAAUUUACCAGGGCGACUUGGCGAGUAGGAAGCAAACUUAUAGGGUUGUGGAGGGCUAAGCGUCGAUCAAAGAGGAGUUUUUGCAAUUUUUUGAACCAAUGAUGAAUAGCAAACCCACAACAACUACAGGCCUUUUGACUUCCUCCAAGGUAGCGUGCUCGGAUUCGAUACCUGUUGAUGGUUGCCUUUUGAAAAAAAAGCCAUGUGCAAAUUGGAUUACGAAUGUGACAGGCAAGUAUAUUAUACUUCUAAUGUGGAAAUUACUCCACGCCUUUAAAAAUUUUAUGAGCAACCUUAAAUAUAUAAAUUUAGUUUAGUACAAAUAUAUGAGAUGACCCGUUCGUGUCGUUUUUCUAUGUGUUCCCGGCCUUUCUUUCCCACUAAACCAUGGGUCCAAUUUAAUUGACCAUCUGAUCAUUUAAACCUGUUUCUAAUACUGCUAAAAAUGAGGUACUUAUCACACAAACAAACAGUCGUUUGAUGGUGUAUGGUGGCGCAAGGCACCGACCGUAAAGGUUUUUUUUUGCAAAUCUAUAGAUUUGCCAAGUUGGGCAUCAGCCGUAAGGAAGUCGGUUGAGAGUUUUGAAACGAUGUCGUGCUCUCUAAAACAUGUAGAUUUGGGUUGGGUUUUUUUAUUUCAAACGGGUUAAUUUGGGUUGUGUUCAACUUAUAACGGGCAAAUUUAGGUUGGGUAUUUUGUUUCAAACGGGUCAACGUGGGUUGUUUUCAAUUUGAAACAUGUGGCAUUUGGGUUCUGUAUUAUUUCAAACGGGUCAAUUUCGGUUAUGUUCUAUAUAAAACAUGUAGACUUGGGUUGGGUAUGCAUAUUUGAAAGGGCAUUUUUGUCAUUAUUGUAUCGAUCUCUGGUAUACAACCAAGCAACCUGAAACAAAAGAUUAAGCAAAUUCGAGUGGAAUGAGUUAUCCGGUUUACAAAAGGUAUGCUCAACAUAUUCUUCGUCUCUUUAACGCAAAGUCAACCCUAUUUGUUUUGUAUAUAUGUCCAUACAUCAGUGGCUCCUUUUUUAGUUAUUUUGACUUUCGGGGUCAAAUUUUAAUCCUGACAGCAAAGACUACACUCAUGUUGUAGUUAUACGGUUUCUCAUGCUUUAGUGAUAUGGUUUCGAUCAUGUGACUUUAUUCCAAGCUUUUUGACAUGCUCACUUAUUGCUUUUGUGUUUUUUUGUAGGUGACUGCAGCGAAUGCCUCAAUUAUAUCUUUGGUAUUAGUUUUGUCAUAGGUGAUCACCACAAAAACUUGAAAGCUAGAUCCGAGAACACGUGUUCAAGCCGUUAUCUCACAUAAUUUGUUGUAUUAAUGUAUUUAACUGUUAUUACACACUGUGAGGUCGUGCUAAUGUGAGAAUCGCAUGAGAACCAGAAGUUAGAAUCAUCACAUGUAUACAAGUAUUUUGUCCUAAAAAGGUUGUGUGUCUGAUGUAUAUAUUAAGCGAGAUGUGUGUUCGGUGAAUUUAGUUGGACUUAGUCUUGUAUUCUUGGUCAAUUAGAUUUAGAUUGUUUUUUUGUUUUUUGUUUUGACAACAUAGUUGGCUACUUGCCAAGUAUUAAUUUUUUUUA